ACUUGAAUCCUUUGAAUCAUUGAAAUCAUCCAUCUUAUUAACUUCAUAUCAGUAUUUGAGUUUUUGAAAUUACUAACAUUAGGAGUCUUAAUGGUCAAUGGCACAUGCUAUGAGAUAAAGUUUGGGGCAUUGUCAAAAUAUUGAGGUUGAUAACUAACAAAGCAUUCUCAAAUGAUGAAAGACUUGGAUCCCUUGAUAUUUUCAAAGAUUGUUGUGCCAUGUAUGACACAAUAUCUAUAUGACGGUUGAUAUGUCAUACCUAUGCCUGUGUGAACUCUUGAGUACGUCCUCUUGAAGUGGAAUGAAUAUCAUAAUUGAUUGUUGCUUGAUUAUCUUCUGAGACAACUUGGCCAUUUUGCAUGGCCUGAUCUACUUCAUUCAUUUCAAGAGUCACUUGUCCUCUUUCAACAACACAUUCUCUCCUACCAUCAAUACCAUAUUUUUCUUUCCUAUAAUUUGAAUAUACCUCAUCUUUUCUCUAAUCAGCUGAUACAUGAAUUCUAUCGGCCUCAUGGAUAUAUUUCAAAUAACCUCCUCCAUUCUUCUAAACAUGUAUAAGGCUUCAUAUAUAGAUUAUCACUAAGUGAUUUUACUUUGUCAAUCAUCAAAUGUAUAUGAUGAAUUUGUGCAAAUUAAAGUGAAAGUCAUUUAAUUGUAAAAUAUAUACUCUCAACCAAAUGAGCUUCCACAAGAUGAAAUCUUUAUAAGUAUAACAAAGCAAAAUUUCACUCAAUAACAUGGUAAGCAUGCCAUAAAAAAAGAGAUAAUAUCUUCCAAAAGAGUUAUUACGCCAAAAGAAAUAUGUAUCACUUACCAUUAUUUCAUAUGUCAUUGAAUUAGGCACAUAAUAUUUCUGAUAUUGAGGAUGCGGAUUAGAAUAACUAAUAAUAUGACAAGUAAUACAUCUAAAUCAAAUAAGGUAGGGGUCAUAUACUUAAGUGGUCUAUGAUUGAUCAGUGACUAUUUUGAAGCUUGGGUUCUAAAAAAGUAAUUAUUGCACAUGUUCUAACUCCUAAUUUGUAUUUGUUCUUUUUCAAUGAUCAUGACAAAAGUGUGUGAAAUCAAAUAGAUAUAAAUUUGAAGUCACCUAUUGCAACCCAAAUUCCCUCAAAACUCGAUCAGGCAAAUAAACCUCAACUACAUCUCCGCAAAAUAUUUGAACUCUAACUCAUCAUAUGUCUUAUCCAACGUGAUAAUAAUCAUAAAGACUCUCAAUCAAGUCAUUGAUAUAUGAUUUUCAAACAAACUACAUAGAAAAGGAAAAAGCAAAUAAGUGUUUACAUUAACAAUCUAUAUAGAAAUAAAAAUAAAUGUAAUGUGCAUUAUACCUGAUCCUCUAUCAAAGAGUCAAGUGUAUCCAUAUGAAUUUUCAAAACAUGUUUGGUACUGUUCAUCCAAUUUAAGUGCGCAAAUUAUCUAGAAGUCUGUGUCCACAAGCCAAACCAACAGGAAAUAUAUUUCUCACAUCUCUCCGUGCUAUUAUCUGGAGCUUGCCGGUAACUUUCUCUCAUGCACAAAUUUAACACACACACACAUAUGUAUAAACUAUAAGAAAUAUCAAUAGAUAGCUUGUGCAAUUAUUAAGUAUUUCUAAAAAAAUAGUAGAAAGCUAACUAUCUCAUUUUGGGGUACACUGUGAGGCCUUACAUAAAAAUGAUAUAAGCAUGAUAAGUUCACGCUCUCCUAACUAUGUGAUCUAAUUUCAUCGAUGUCCUUGAAUAAAAGCAGGUAUAUACAGUUUAAUAAAUCAUCAAAUGUAUCUACCAUUAUCAUACCUACAAACAUUCAAAACAUGUAAUAUCUGGCCUUUUGAUUGACAAUAUCUUGUAUUGUCAUGUCAGGCAACUGUGAUUUUCCUAGCAUGUACGUAUUAAGCACAACCUUAAGAAAACUAUUUUUAAAGGUAUUACGAGAUGGAAUAAAAUUUACUAAUCUUUGAUAAAUACUUUGCCAAUCUUAUAUAGUCAUUAUUGCCUUAUAACCAAGUACUGAAUUAUCACCAUUCAUAGGUAAUCCAUACAACGCCUCUACAUUCUUUUAGGUGACAGUUGUUUCACCUGUUUUAAAGUGAAAAGUAUGAGUUUUAGGAUGUCAUCACUCAAAUAGUGAAGUGAUCAACCUACGAUCGACAACAAGUUGAUUAGAUCUAUAAAUACUAUACAAUUUGAAUAGUCUAAUCACUUCUAAAAUUCGUAGAUAGAUAGGAUGUUUCUUUAUAAGCUUGAAAGAAUUUUCAUCCUUUCUACUCAUGUUAAGAAUUAUAUUAUCACUUUCAUCUCAUAUGUCUUGUGAUCUAUGGAUGAGUUGUUCAGUUAAUACAGAUGGUUCAAAUGGACUAGGAUCCAACUUGUAUUCACUAUUAUUAUCCAUAAAAGAAAAUAUAUGUGGAUAAAUAAAUACUUUUAGUAUAAUAAAUAAAUUAACCAGCCAUAAAAAAUGAUAGCUUAAAACGGGAACAAAGUCUACAAUAUUUUUCAUUGCAAAAUAAGAUUUUGUUGUGACAUUUAUAUGUACAUACCAUAUUUGGUAAUGCUUCUAAAGAAUAACUCUGUUGUCCCAUUAGAGUAUUACAAUCAACUUUUGGACUAUUAGAAACAACAACAAUUUUAGACUUUUUGUAAUUUACUAAACAUAAUUUUAUCCAUUACAAAAUCAUAAUUUAGAAAGUAAUUGAAUAAAAUUUGACAAAUAAAUAAGUCUAAAUAGUGUUCAAUCAUAAUUUAGAAUGUAGUUGAAUAAAAUUUAAGGAAUGCAUAAAUUUAAACAGUUUUCUUAAUUUACUGAGUAAAACUAUUGCUUUAAAAGAAAAGGAUAUUGAUUGAUCAAUUUUUUUUUCUAUAUCACAGGAUGAGAAGAGAUGCAAAAAUUCAAAAUGAUAUUUCGAUCAAUCUUUGGCGGAGUUGAGAGUUGAUCUUCAUUAUUUAUUGACAGUGAUAAAAUCUUAUGUUAUGAAAUGUCACGAAAUUAGAAGAUAUUCUUCAAAAAUUCUAGCCCCCUAAUAUUUUUCUGACUAUACUAACGAUGUAGAUUGGGGACGGAGCCAUGAAUAUCAAUUUUUUGAAAAUACUAGCGGCGAGUAUUGAAAACAAAGUCGUGACAACAAUAUCGAUAAGAGGAAUGAAACUAGGGGAUUAAAAAAUAGUAAAUCUAGUUGAAAUAAUUUCAAGGGUUAAAAGGUAUACAAAGGAAACAACGACAUUAUUUGUUUAAUUAAGGAAACAAAUAAUAGACUUUUUUUUAUUUUCCAUCCGGUGUCCGGUACCCACAUUGGAGCCCGACUCAUCUGGAUUCGCGCCAGGUAGGGCCCCAUUCGGGGGGUAGCGCUAAGCUAAAAUCAUUACUAUCAAUAUUGUAUCCUAUUUUAACGUCGUUAAUUUGUUGUUUUUGAUCUAUUUUUUUAAAUAUAAUAUAGUCUAAUAUGUUUCUAUCAACAACGUUUAUACUAAUUUUGUGAUGUUUCAAAAAAAACAUACUAUUUUGAUGAAUUGUUUAAGUAAACGCUUAUAUUGAUCAAAAAUUGAGAAUCAGAAAGGAGAGAUUGAUUGGCCAACCGCCGAUGCUGACAGGGCAAUGGCCGGAAUGAACAUGAUCAAAUCAGUAGAAUAUGGCUAGGGUUUGCACGAGAGAGAAGAGAAGACAAUUUCGCAUAUUAAUACAAUUAAAUGAAUUUUUGAUUCGCUAAAAUAUGAGCUCAUUUUGCUGGCACCAGUUGUAAUAUACAAAGUCUCUUACUUCAACUAUACAACCUUUAUUUUAAUUCAUUUUCUUUUUCGAGGACUCUCUCUCCUACUCUUCAAUUAUCGAUAAAUUAAUCAUAAAAUAAAAUUUAAAAGGAAAUAUUACUUAUAAUUCAUAUACUUUAAACUCAAAGUCAACAUUUUUUUUAUAUGAUGAACCUAAAUAAUUCGUGGAGGCUUAGAAAGGCAUCAACUUUUCCGCAAUGAAUGUUUAAAAUGUAAUGAAAUUCUCAAUUUUCCUCGUGCAAAAUAGGAACUUUCAAAAAAAAUCAAAUGUUUUCUCACUUAUAUAUAUGUUGAUGGUAAUUUUUUCUUAAAACAAUAUUUUAGUAUUUUACCUUUUGUAAUUUAGUAAUUAUUAAUAAUAUUCUUUUAUUUUGCGAGGUAAUCCUUAUUUUAUUUUAUUUUUGUGAAUGUGCCAAUUCAAAAGUUGAGUCGGCAAAACUUUGUAGUAUUAUUAUUAACAUAAAAGAUAUAACUCAUAACCAAUUAUAAAUUUCUUUGAAGUAAAAAUAUAAAGGGUCAAGCAUCAAAGAGACUUAUAUAGAGGUGUUAGGCGUCUCGAGGAGUCGGGCAGGUCAACAUAAGAGGGACUGGUGGUGGAAUGAAGAAGUCAAGAAGAAAGUGGAGUUUAAGAAGGGGGUGUAUGUGAAGUUGAUCAAGAGUAAAGACGAAGAGGAGAAGAGGGUGAAUAGGGAGGUUUACAAAGUAGCAAGGAAAGAGGCUAAGUUAGUAGUUAUGGCUGCUAAGACAGCAGCUUUUGAGAGUUUGUAUGCGGGGUUAAAGGAGAAAAAUGAGGAAAACAGGUUGUAUAGGCUGGAUAGGGCUAGGAAGAGGAAAGGUCAUGACCUCGAUCAAGUGAAGUGCAUUAAGGGGGGAUGGUAGAGUUUUGGUGGAGAAUGUUCACAUUAAGAAGAGAUGGCAGGAGUAUUUUCAUAGACUUUUAAACGAGGAGGGGGACAGAGGCAUUGUGUAGGGGAGAUGAAGUGCUCGAAGGAGAACCGUGAUUUUGGUUACUGUAGACAUUUUAAGGUUGAAAAGGUUAGAGAGGCUAUUCGUAGGAUGGGGAGGGGUAGAGCGACGCGGCCUGACGAGAUUCCAGUAGAUUUUUGAAAGUUUGCAGGUGGGGCAGAUUUAAGGUGGUUGACUGAUUUGGUUAACGUUAUUUUUAAGACGGCGAUAAUUCUUGAGGCUUGGAGAUAGAGUACAAUAAUUUUAUUGUAUAAAAAUAAGGGUGAUAUUCAGAGUUGCAAUAACUAUAGGGGUAUUAAGCUGUUGAGUCACACUAUGAAAAUUUGGGAGAGGAUGAUUGAGCGGAGAUUGAGGAGGGUCAUGUCCAUUUCAGAGAAUCAGUUUGGUUUUAUACCUGUACGCUCGAUGAUAGAAGCAAUCCACUUGGUGAGAAGAUUGGUGGAGGGGUAUAGGGAAAGGAAGAGGGACUUGCACAUGGUGUUCAUCGACUUGAAAAAGGCGUACAACAAAGUCCCUGGGGAGGUUCUUUGGAGAUUCUUGGAGGUGAAUGAAGUUUAGGUGGCAUACAUCAGAGCUAUUAAGGAAAUGCACGAUGGAGGGAAGACACAGGUAAGGAUAACGGGAGGAGACUCAGGGCAUUUUCUGGUCGAGACAGGUUUGCAUCAGGGAUUGACUCUUAGCCCAUUUCUUUUUGCGUUGGUGAUAGACGUGUUGAAGUGGAGUAUUCAAGAGGAGGUACCUUGGUGUAUGUUAUUUGCGGAUGAUGUAGUGUUGAUCGAUGAGACGCGGGGAGGUGUGAAUCAAAAAUUGGAGGUUUAGAGGCAAACCCUUGAAUCUAAGAGGUUCAGGUUGAGUAGGUCUAAGACAGAGUAUUUAGAGUGCAAGUUUAGUGACUCGAGUCAGGAGGACAAAGUGGUGGUGAGGUUGGGUUCCCAGGAUAUUCGCAAGAGGAAUAGUUUUAAGUAUCUGGGGUCUAUGAUUCAGGGGAAUGGCGAGAUUGACGAGGAUGUCUCUAAGUGUAUUCGAGCAGUUUGGAUGAAGUGGAGGCUCGCCUCGAGAGUGUUGUAUGAUAAGAAGGUGCCCCUUAAGCUUAAAGGCAAAUUCUACAAAGUGGUAGUCCGUCUGGCCAUGCUGUAUGGAGCGGAGUGUUGGCCAGUUAAGAAAUUCUACAUUCAAAGAUUGAAGGUGGCAGAGAUGAGAAUGUUGUGUUACAUGUGUAGACUUACUAGAGAGGAUAGAAUUAGAAAUAAGACAGAAGGUGGGAGUGGCUUCGGUAGAGAAAAAGAUACGAGAAGGAAGGUUGAGAUGGUUUGGAAAUGUGAUGAGGAGGGGCACGGAUGCCCCAAUUCGAAGGUACAAGAGGCUUGCUGCGGAUGGCUUUAGGAGGAGUAGAGAUAGGCUAAAGAAAUACUGGAGAGAGGUAAUUAGACGUGACAUAGAGCAGCUUCAAUUUACUAAGCACAUGACCCUAGACAGGAAGGUGUGGAGCUCGUGGAUUAGGAUAGAAGGCUGGUGUGAAUGUGUGGGUUGUUGAAAGGUGGUUGGAGAGCGCUUAUGUAGUUGGGUUAGUAAUCCUACGUCUGUGUCCUUGAAUUGGAGCCUCUAGUCAGGAGUGUUUGGAAAUGGUGGGUGUUUUUGAUUUGGGAGUGUAGGUUACUACUAGGUGGGUGUCCUCUUUCUUAUGUCUUAUUGAAAAAUGUUAGUAUUUCGCUUAUUUUCGUAUUUCUCUAAUUUUUAUUUUGUAUUUAUGUUUAUUAUUUCUUAUUUUGUAUUUCGUUUAUGCCAUCCAUCCGGUUUCAUGUUUCAUUACGACCUUGGUGUACUAUUCUUUAUCUUGAGCCGGGGGUCUAUCGAAAAUAGCCUCUCUACUUCUGCGGAGGUAGUGGUAUAGACUGCGUACAUCUUACCCUCCCCAGACCUCACUUUGUGAAAAUAAACUGGGACUGUUGUUGUUGUAGUUGUUAUUAUUGCUCAUUAUCACUUUAUUUUUUCAGGUGAAUCUCAAAAAUAGACCCAAAUUAGGAUGGCUUUCAAAUUUUAGCUCCAACUAAAAAAGCUUCUUUAAAAUAGCCUCUACCUAUUAACUAUUAUUUUUUUGGAUAAAAUUGUCCCUGAUCAAUGGAGUAAAUUACAUAAAUGAUCCUCAUAAUGGAUAACAACUCCAUAUUUAUAUCUUUCAACUUUUAUUUUUUUUCUCUUCUUAAUUUUACUACUUUUUCCUCUCAACUUCUUUUUUUUUCUUUUUUAUUUUAUAUUUUUUUCUUUUUUUUUUGUUCUUUUUAGUUUUUCUCAACCCUUACUUUUUUUCUUUACAACUCUCAACGUCAACUUUUAUUAAAAGAAAUAUUUUUCUUUGAUUUUUAUUUUUUUAUUUUUUAUUUUUCUCAACCUUUAUUUUUAUUUAAUCUUUAUUUUUUUGAUCAAUCUUUAAUUUUUUCCUAUUCUUUAUCAACUUCUACAUUUUCUUUGAUUUUUACUUUUUAAAUAUUUUUCUUCUUUUUGUGCAAUUUUUAUUAUUUUUGUUCAUUUCUUCAAUUUCUUCCAUUUACGUUAUAUCUCCUGAGUAAGAGUUGACACUAUCAUAUUAUAAAGGAAAGACUUAUGACUUUCGAAAAUAAGCUAUAUUUCAUGAGUAAAGGUUGACACUAUUACAUCGUAGAGGCAAGACUUAUGACUUUCAAACAACAAAUUAUGUUUCGUGGCAAAAGUUGACACAACCACAUCGUAUUUUGAUUUAUGAGAUGUUUUAUAACUCUUACCUUAGAGGCAAGACUUAGCUCAGGGACUUUCAAACAACAAAUUAAACCCCACGGGCAAGAGUUGACUCUACCACAUUAUGUUUUCAUUUAUGAGAUGUUCUACAACUACUGCCUUAAAGGAAAGACUUAGCUCAAGGACUUUCAAACUACAAAUUAUGCCCUACAGGCAAGAGUUGACUCUACCACAUUAUAUUUUCAUUUAUGAGAUAUUCUAUAACUAUUGUCUUAGAGGUAAGACUUGGCUCAAGGAAUUUCAAACAAUAAAUUAUACCCCACGGGCAAGAGUUGACUCGACCACGUUAUGUUUGCAUUUAUGAAAUGUUCUAUAACUAUUGCUUUAGAGGCAAGACUUGGCUCAAGGACUUUCAAACAACAAACUAUGCCCCACGGGCAAAAGUUGACUCUACCACGUUAUGUUUUCAUUUAUGAGAUGUUCUACAACUAUCGCCUCAGAGACAAGACUUAGUUCAAGGACUUUCAAUCUACAAAUUAUGCCCCACGGGCAAGAGUUAACUCUACCACAUUAUAUUUUCAUUUAUGAGAUGUUCUACAACUAUCGCCUCAGAGACAAGACUUAGUUCAAGGACUUUCAAUCUACAAAUUAUGCCCCACGGGCAAGAGUUGACUCUACCACGUUAUGUUUGCAUUUAUGAGAUGUUUUACAACUAAUGCCUUAGAGGCAAGACUUAGCUCAAGAACUUUCAAACAACAAAUUAUGCCCCACGGGCAAGAGUUGACUCUACCAUAUUAUGUUUUUAUUUAUGAGAUGUUCUACAACUCAUGACUUAGAAGAAAGACUUGGCUCAAAGACUUUUAAACUAUAAAUUAUGCCCCACGGGCAAGAGUUGACUCUACCAUAUUAUGUUUUUAUUUAUGAGAUGUUCUACAACUCAUGACUUAGAAGAAAGACUUGGCUCAAAGACUUUUAAACUAUAAAUUAUGCCCCACGGGCAAGAGUUGACUCUACCAUAUUAUGUUUUUAUUUAUGAGAUGUUCUACAACUCAUGACUUAGAAGAAAGACUUGGCUCAAAGACUUUUAAACUAUAAAUUAUGCCCCACGGGCAAGAGUUGACUCUACCAUAUUAUGUUUUUAUUUAUGAGAUGUUCUACAACUCAUGACUUAGAAGAAAGACUUGGCUCAAAGACUUUUAAACUAUAAAUUAUGCCCCACGGGCAAGAGUUGACUCUACCAUAUUAUGUUUUUAUUUAUGAGAUGUUCUACAACUCAUGACUUAGAAGAAAGACUUGGCUCAAAGACUUUUAAACUAUAAAUUAUGCCCCACGGGCAAGAGUUGACUCUACCAUAUUAUGUUUUUAUUUAUGAGAUGUUCUACAACUCAUGACUUAGAAGAAAGACUUGGCUCAAAGACUUUUAAACUAUAAAUUAUGCCCCACGGGCAAGAGUUGACUCUACCAUAUUAUGUUUUUAUUUAUGAGAUGUUCUACAACUCAUGACUUAGAAGAAAGACUUGGCUCAAAGACUUUUAAACUAUAAAUUAUGCCCCACGGGCAAGAGUUGACUCUACCAUAUUAUGUUUUUAUUUAUGAGAUGUUCUACAACUCAUGACUUAGAAGAAAGACUUGGCUCAAAGACUUUUAAACUAUAAAUUAUGCCCCACGGGCAAGAGUUGACUCUACCAUAUUAUGUUUUUAUUUAUGAGAUGUUCUACAACUCAUGACUUAGAAGAAAGACUUGGCUCAAAGACUUUUAAACUAUAAAUUAUGCCCCACGGGCAAGAGUUGACUCUACCAUAUUAUGUUUUUAUUUAUGAGAUGUUCUACAACUCAUGACUUAGAAGAAAGACUUGGCUCAAAGACUUUUAAACUAUAAAUUAUGCCCCACGGGCAAGAGUUGACUCUACCAUAUUAUGUUUUUAUUUAUGAGAUGUUCUACAACUCAUGACUUAGAAGAAAGACUUGGCUCAAAGACUUUUAAACUAUAAAUUAUGCCCCACGGGCAAGAGUUGACUCUACCAUAUUAUGUUUUUAUUUAUGAGAUGUUCUACAACUCAUGACUUAGAAGAAAGACUUGGCUCAAAGACUUUUAAACUAUAAAUUAUGCCCCACGGGCAAGAGUUGACACUACCACGUUAUGUCUUCAUUUUAUAGGAUGUUCUACAACUCUUACCUUAGAGGCAAGACUUAGCUCAUGGACUUCCAAAUAAUAAAUUAUGCCUCAUGGGCAAGAGUUGACAUUACCACGUUAUGUCUUCAUUUAUGGGAUGUUCUACAACUCUUGCCUUAGAGGCAAGACUUUGCUCAAGGACUUUCAAAUAAUAAAUUAUGCUCCACGGGUAAGAGUUGACACUACCACAUUAUGUUUUAAUUUAUGAGAUAUUCUACAACUCUCGUCUUAGAGACACGAUUUACCUCAAGAAUGUUCAAAAAACUUUGUAACAACAAUUCAUGCCCUUAAAUUUGCUUUAAUGUCAAAACAAGAAGAUCCCUUUGCGGAUUAUCUAAUUUUUUAUUUAUUAGCAAAAUAUAAUAGAAGUUGAGAAAAAAUAAAAAGCCAAUCAAACAAAAUAGAGAAAUAAAAAAAGAUUGAGAAAAAAAAAGGAAAGAAUAAAACAUAAAGAUCAAGAAAAAAGUGAAGAAUUAAAAAAAUUCAGAAAAAUAAAAUUGAGAGAAAAAAUAAAAAUAAAGUUUGAAAAAAAUGAGGAAAAAAUAGAAAACUAGAAAAAGAAAAAAGCGAUCAAACAAAAUAGAGAAAUAUAUAAAAAAAAAGUGAGAAAAAAAAAAGAAAGAAAAAAAUAAAGGCUAAGAAAAAAGCGAAGAAUUAAAAAAAUAAGAAAAUAAAAAAUGAGAGGAAAAAAUAAAAAUAAAGUUUGAGAAAAAUAGGAAAAAGAAGAGAACUGAUAAAAAACAAAAAUAAAAGAAAAAUAAAGGUUAAAGACAAGUGAAUUAAAAAAAGGAAAAAAAAUAGAUAAUGCUUGUGGAAAAAGACAAAAAAUAAAGGUUGAGACAAAUGAAUUAAAACAUGAAAAUAAAAUUAAAGAAAAAAAUAUAAAGUAAAAUAAUAAAAUUAAAGAAAAAAAUAAAAAAGUGAAAAUAAUAAAAAAUAGAAUAAUAAAUUAAAGAAAAAAUAAAAAUUGAAACUAAUAAAAAAUAAAAUUUGAGAGACAAAUAAGUAUGAAAAGUUUUAAAAAUAUAUUUGAGGUGUAGAGGGGUAAAAUGGUACUUGUACUAUACUUAAAAAGUAAGGAAGGUUAUUCUUUAAAGACAUUUCUUACUAUGGUGAAAUAUCUAAAGCCACCCAUAUUUGGGUCUAUGACAUGCAACUUUCUGUAUUUUUUUAAAAGAAAAUAGUGCUCGAAGAGUUAGGUUGAGAUGGUUUGGUCAUGUGAUGAGGAGGGGCACGGAUGCCCCCGUUCGUAGGUGUGAGAGACUAGCGUUAGAUGGUUUCAAGCGGGGUAGGGGUAGACCGAAGAAAUACUGGAGAGAAGUGAUUAGAUGUGAUAUGGAGCAGUUACGUCUCACUGAGGACAUGACCCUGGAUCAGAAGGUUUGGAGGAAAAACACUAGGAUAGAGGGAUAAGGUGGGUGGAUGAAUCGUAAUAUGUAGUUAGGAGGAUUUUAGCGUCUUCUGUUUGGUAUUGUACAUUACUUUUGUGGAUGUUGUAUCUAUGUUAGUUUUUUCAUAUUUCAUGCUUUGAAUAUUUUUGUAUAUUAUCCUGUGUCUUGAGCCGGGGGGCUAUCGGAAACUGCAUCUCUACUUCUUUAGAGGUAGUGGUAUGGACUGCGUAUAUUCUACCUUCCCCAGAUCCCACUAGGUGGGAAUAUACUGAAUUUGUUGUUGUUGUUGUAUUUGUUGAAACAGUGUUCAAAGAAGCCUAAAAUGUCAAAUCUAUUACGUCUCUACAAGCUCCUUUGACAAGUAUUAAUAGUACUAGACACAAAGAACCCGUGAGUCAAUCAAAUUUUUAUAGUAUAAUUUUUAAAUAUUUUAAGUUGUUAAUUAUUGUGAUAUUUUAUACUUUUUAUAUAAAUUUUAAAUAAUAUAUGUUACUCUCGCAGUUUCAAUUUAUUUGGCACUGACAAAAUUUGAAGAGUCGGCCCAAUAUAUGUUCUUUCUUUUGACUCAUUUUAUAUGACUACAUGAAAUUUAGGGAAUCAAUUACUCUUUUUCUAUCAUCUUUAAUAUUUUAAAUUAUUAAUUAUUAUGAUUUGUGGUAAAUUUACAUAAUUAUAAUAUAGUAAAUAUUCCCGUUAUCUCAUUUUAGGUUAUAUUGAUGGAAUUUAAAGAGUCAAUCAAAUUUUAUAUGUAUUUUUUAGAUAUUUGCUUCAUCGUAAUAUUUGAUUAACUCUCGAAAUUAUAUCAAUGUCACUUAAACUGGAAUAAAAGAAAAAGUAUUAUAAAUCAUAAUAAUUAAAAACUUAAAUUAUUUUUAAAAUAUAAUUAACUUAAAUUAUUUUAGAAAUAUAAUUAACUAUCCAUGCCACAAAAAUUUCGACAAAGAGAAUAACAUAUAUUAUUUGAAAAUUACAUAAAAAGUAUUAUGAAUUACGAUAGCUAACAACUUAAAUAAUCUAAAAAUAUAUUUAAAAUAUAAUUAAUUAUCAAAAUUCUAUUUGUGUCACAUAAAUUGAGAUAAAAAAUAGCACAUAUUUUACUGACCCUAGAUAUCUGAUAGAUUCAUAAGAUAAUUAGCAUUUAAGGGGUAAAUUUAAGUUGAGAUAUCAUCAAAAUUGAUUUCAAGUUUACAUAUCAUCAAAACAAAGACUACAUUUUGACAUUCAAUUUUGAGUUUUGACCGUCCGAUAUGUCUUCUAGGUGGUUAUUUUAUAAAAUUUAAUGUUAAUAUUUCUUUACAUAUUUUCUUGUUAUCAAAUCAAUAGGUGGUUAUUUUAUAAAAUUUAAUGUUAAUAUUUCUUUACAUAUUUUCUUGUUAUCAAAUCAAUAUACGUGUCAAAUUCAUGCUUUUAACAUAUGCAAUUUAUUUAUUUAUUUUAAUCUUAUUUUAUAUAUAAUUUAUUAAAUUAAAUAUAAUAUUCUUACAUAAUUUUGUUAAAAUUUAUUAAAUUAUUAUUAUAUCAAAUAUAUUGAUAAUAUUAUAUAAUAUCUUUACGUAAUAUUAAUCUUAUAUACAUAAUGUUAUUUUAAGAAAAAAUAAUUUUUAAUGUUUUACUAUUUUACAUUUAUUAAAGUGAUGUCUAAUUCUCUUUGAUUUGACCUAAUUUAUUUAAUUUCUAGCUAUUUUUUGGUACACAAUUACUAUCAAUUCUAACCUAAAUUUGACCCUAUUUUAAUUCCCAAUUUAAUCUCAAUUGAUUUAAAAUUAAACCCAAAUUCAGAUGACCCAAUUUCAACCCAUGAUCCGACCCACUUCUUAAUUUUAAUCUUGUCCGUCUAUCGCACGAUCAACGAUUGAAAUUAAAGACCCAUUUUUUUCCUUUAUAUAUAUAUAUAUAUAUAUAUAUAUAUAUAUUAUACCCCAAAUUCCCAAUUUACUCAACAAAACACAGCCGUCAUAUCCCAUCCACUUCCUCUCUCCACCGUCUCACCUUCAACUGUCGCCAGCUAGACCGCCAGACCGAGCACCACCACCACAGGCGAUAUUUACACCAUGUUGUCUUCCUCUUGCCGUCACCAUCAUCAGCAAGGCGACCUGACGCCACCCUUCUCUCCGUUAGCAGUCGUUUCUCUCAUGUUUCUAUCGCCGACGACCUUCAUCGCACCGCCAGCAAGUCACCACCACAACACCGACUGCCCUGGUUGGUGAUCUACUCAACAGCGCCGCCCUCUUGCUCUUUUUUCUUUCCCAAAAAAAAUCUCUCAACCUCACAAAAGUACCCCCCACCCUCAUCUUCGUUUUACAAGCCAAAAAUUUCUGAGGUUGUGUCUAAAGUUUUCGCUUAUUCUUUCGUUGCUAUCAUCGUCAAUUUUGUGCUGGGUUUUCUGGUGGUUGAACUUGGUGUGAAAUGAGAAAAAUGUCCAGUUGAUUCAUCUUGAACCACACGUAGCCUUGGAACAACAAAUCAAGUUCCUUUUAAUGUUGUUAGUACAAAAUUGAUGAAUAUUUGGGAAAUGAAAUUUGGAUGCAUGUCCUUUGAACCAAUUGUCCCACAUCCGGAAUGAGCCAAAUCGACAGUUUUGGACUUCACCUUAUUUAAGUUAUUUUAUUUCAGAAAAAUUGAUUUUUUUGUCUGUUGGGUGUUUCAGUUCAUCUAAAUCUUGAUGUUGAUUUAUGGGUUAUUGAUAAUUCAUUUUAUUAAAUGUUGUUCUGGUAAUGUUUUGAUAUCAUUACAACCGAGGUCCAAAGACAUAAUUUUACUCAGAACUUUGGGUUCGCAAGGUGUUUUUGUGGUGAUUGAGAUUGCUGUGAAAGGACAGAAAUGUCCUCAUAGGGGCUGUGUGAAAUAACAAAAUUGCCCUUGGCUAAGCUGGCAGGACAACCGUCUGUGCCUGCUUUAGGCCACUUAUAUCUAUUAGUAAUAUUACUUUUUUUAUUCAAUUUAUUAGACUCAUUUUUUUUUUUUUCAUCAGUUCAACAAAAGCGAGGUAUUUCUAUGUUUAGUACUCCCUUUUUCAGUUUAUAUAACUUACUUUCUUUAUUAGUCAACCUCAAAAAAAUGACAUAUUUUUAUAUUUAGUAAUAAUUUAAUUUUAAAAUGACUUAUUUUACUUUUAAUGAAAUAAUUUAUUGUCAUGCAAACAUCUUAAAAUUAUUU
rnacentral:lncRNA from 1 species